UACGGAGGGGGCUAGCGUUGUUCGGAAUUACUGGGCGUAAAGCGCACGUAGGCGGCUUUGCAAGUUAGAGGUGAAAGCCCGGGGCUCAACUCCGGAAUUGCCUUUAAAACUGCAUCGCUAGAAUUGUGGAGAGGUAAGUGGAAUUCCGAGUGUAGAGGUGAAAUUCGUAUAUAUUCGGAAGAACACCAGUGGCGAAGGCGACUUACUGGACACAUAUUGACGCUGAGGUGCGAAAGCGUGGGGAGCAAACAGG
rnacentral:rRNA from 1 species